rnacentral:rRNA from 1 species
UACGAAGGGGGGCUAGCGUUGCUCGGAAUCACUGGGCGUAAAGGGUGCGUAGGCGGGUCUUUAAGUCAGGGGGUGAAAUCCUGGAGCUCAACUCCAGAACUGCCUUUGAUACUGAAGAUCUUGAGUUCGGGAGAGGUGAGUGGAACUGCGAGUGUAGAGGUGAAAAUUCGUAGAUAUUCGCAAGAACACCAGUGGCGAAGGCGGCUCACUGGCCCGAUACUGACGCUGAGGCACGAAAGCGUGGGGAGCAAACAGG